UGGGGAAUUUUCCGCAAUGGGCGCAAGCCUGACGGAGCAAUACCGCGUGAGGGAGGAAGGCUUUUGGGUUGUAAACCUCUUUUCUCAAGGAAGAAGUCCUGACGGUACUUGAGGAAUCAGCAUCGGCUAACUCCGUGCCAGCAGCCGCGGUAAUACGGAGGAUGCAAGCGUUAUCCGGAAUUAUUGGGCGUAAAGCGUCCGCAGGUGGUGCAUCAAGUCGGCUGUCAAAGACCAGGGCUUAACCCCGGGAAGGCAGUGGAAACUGGUGGACUAGAGUACGGUAGGGGUAGAGGGAAUUCCCAGUGUAGCGGUGAAAUGCGUAGAGAUUGGGAAGAACACCAGUGGCGAAGGCGCUCUACUGGACCUGUACUGACACUCAGGGACGAAAGCUAGGGGAGCGAAAGGGAUUAGAUACCCCUGUAGUCC
rnacentral:rRNA from 1 species